AGACUGGAUAGCUCUCCUCUCUGGGGCAGACGCCUCAGACAGAGGCCAUGCUCCCCUCUCCUGGGCAGACGCAUGCGAUGAAGCAAGCCGCCAGGUCAGACAUGCUGAAUCUUUCCCGAACUGAUAUGUAAAAAGAUAAUGAAGGACAGUCAAAAACCAUAUUUGGACCAUUAGAUUCUUUUGCUGUGAAAAACAGUUUUCAAUUUGAAAACUUUAAAAACCUCAUCAUGACUCCAUUGUGGGAGAGAUCAAGAGCCUGGAUACAAUAUUGUAUGAUGUGGAAU